GCAAAUUAACCAAAGUGACUCCUUAACCUUUUUUAAUCACCUUCCCUUUGUACUGCUUUCUAAAUGCUACAUAUGAAUGCAACCCUUCACACCACACAUUAAAAAUUUGUUAGCCAUGGAUAUAUCUCAAAUCAACCAAAGGGAAGAGUGUUGAGACACAAUUGUCUACAAAAGUCCCAUAUUUGAAUCACCAUCAAGGAAAUAGUGAAAUACCCGGGGUUGAAAAAAUAAAAAAAACACUAAAAAAUUGAGCAACGACAAUGUUGUUCCGGUUAGCAAGAUUG
rnacentral:lncRNA from 1 species